rnacentral:rRNA from 1 species
UACGUAGGGUGCAAGCGUUACUCGGAAUUACUGGGCGUAAAGCGUGCGCAGGCGGUUGUGCAAGACAGGUGUGAAAUCCCCGGGCUCAACCUGGGAAUUGCAUUUGUGACUGCACGGCUAGAGUGUGUCAGAGGGGGGUAGAAUUCCACGUGUAGCAGUGAAAUGCGUAGAGAUGUGGAGGAAUACCGAUGGCGAAGGCAGCCCCCUGGGAUAACACUGACGCUCAUGCACGAAAGCGUGGGGAGCAAACAGG